rnacentral:rRNA from 1 species
GUAGGGGGCUAGCGUUGUCCGGAUUUAUUGGGCGUAAAGAGCGUGUAGGCGGCCAGGUAGGUCUGGUGUGAAAACUGGAGGCUCAACCUCCAGCUGUCAUCGGAAACCAUCUGGCUAGAGUCCGGAAGAGGAGAGUGGAAUUCCUGGUGUAGCGGUGAAAUGCGCAGAUAUCAGGAAGAACACCUAUGGCGAAGGCAGCUCUCUGGGACGGUACUGACGCUGAGACGCGAAAGCGUGGGGAGCGAACAGGAUUAGAUACCCUGGUAGUCCACGCCGUAAACGAUGGGNUGNUAGGUGUGGGCGGUGUCGACUCCGUCCGUGCCGAAGCUAACGCAUUAAGCACCCCGCCUGGGGAGUACGGCCGCAAGGCUA